UCAUCUUUACCUUUCAACUUAUCUGCCUGUAUAUUUUGCAACACUGGAUAUAAAGAACUAAUCAUUUAUAUUCAUCGAGACAUGGUCACCAUCGUAACCAAUUUUCCAUUAUAAUUAAAAAUCAAUUUGAUGAUAUUUAAAGAUUUAUGAACAUUUUAGUUAAAAUCAAUCGGUUACGUAGUCGUUUUAUACUUUUUCAAAAAGAUAAUUUUGAAAUAUUAAAAGUUUAAAUUCUAAUAUUUAAUUAUAGUUAAUAUUUAGUUAAAUAUCUUUAAAAAAUUAUUAUGUGUCUCUUUUCUUAAUAUCUUACUAUAUCUUAUAAGACACUUAUUAAUCCCUAUCCCUCCUCGUGGAAUCUAAAAACUCCACUGACAAUAUAUCAAAUAAUUUCCCUAAUUAUAAUCCCUCGCCAUAACAAAAAGGAUUUAUUUUCUAAGUGCAAGAAUUUUUUAAAAUAAAAAUUAACUUUCAGUAUUUUUUAAAAUAAGAAGCAAAACUCAUUAAUUCACUCGGUUUGAAAAACGACAUCCGAUUAUUAAUGCAUCAAUAAAAUCCGACCCGACGUGUCAAGAAAAAUCAUUGACCAAAUUAAUUAUCUUAUUAUUUAAAAACAUUUCAAGAAUGCAUGUAGAAAAAAAAUAAUUAAAAUCGCAUGAAGUCAACAAUAUUAAAUACGCACAUGCACACCAUAUCUGAGUAUAUAGUAAUAGUACUCGCAGCAACUGAAAUAUUUGAGUCACAUUAAAAUGGAAUAAACAUAAUAACAUAACAUAAUAUAAUGUAAUACCCAAUAGCCUGAAGGCUCAACAAGGAUUACAGGCCCAAGGAAAAUUCAAUUCAGGGCUACCUAGUCCCAAUCGGCCAUGUGAGAGAACUGGACCAGGUCUGUCUCAGCUGAGCCGGUUCAGCUUACGGGUCAGCCACUACAAUGGAGCUCCAAACGGAUCGAUUGUUCAAACCCCAAAACGGUGCAUUUUGCACCUAAUGGCACUCCUGUAUUUUUUAUUUCAUUUCCAACAGCCUUCAAGCUGCCGCCGCCACAACCAGCACCUCCGGCAAAUCCUGUUUCCGUUCAGGCAGCCGGUAAUCGACUCUCUUCCCUUUCUUCUCUGACUGGUUUUGCACGAACACUACUGCUUCUAAAUGGCCGCUGUUGUUGCACCGUUGACGCUCGUUCUUCCGGUGGUCUUCUCCGUUGGAGCCACCGGCCGAUCUCCGGUCAACUCCUCACUCCCUCUAUCUUUUUUUCGGGUCUCUUAUUAUUCUCUCCGUGGUUUUUGCAAGUUCUUUCUCCUCUAUUCUGGCGCUGGAAGGUUCUUUGGUUGUGCUUUUUAGGGUGAUUUAAGAAUGUGUGGUGUGUGAGU
rnacentral:lncRNA from 1 species